CCGCGUGUGUGAAGAAGGUCUUCGGAUUGUAAAGCACUUUAAGUUGGGAGGAAGGGCAGUAAGUUAAUACCUUGCUGUUUUGACGUUACCAACAGAAUAAGCACCGGCUAACUUCGUGCCAGCAGCCGCGGUAAUACGAAGGGUGCAAGCGUUAAUCGGAAUUACUGGGCGUAAAGCGCGCGUAGGUGGUUCGUUAAGUUGGAUGUGAAAGCCCCGGGCUCAACCUGGGAACUGCAUCCAAAACUGGCGAGCUAGAGUAUGGCAGAGGGUGGUGGAAUUUCCUGU
rnacentral:rRNA from 1 species